rnacentral:rRNA from 1 species
GACGAACGCUGGCGGCGUGCUUAACACAUGCAAGUCGAACGGAAAGGCCCUGCUUUUGUGGGGUGCUCGAGUGGCGAACGGGUGAGUAACACGUGAGUAACCUGCCCUUGACUUUGGGAUAACUUCAGGAAACUGGGGCUAAUACCGGAUAGGAGCUCCUGCUGCAUGGUGGGGGUUGGAAAGUUUCGGCGGUUGGGGAUGGACUCGCGGCUUAUCAGCUUGUUGGUGGGGUAGUGGCUUACCAAGGCUUUGACGGGUAGCCGGCCUGAGAGGGUGACCGGCCACAAUGGGACUGAGAUACGGCCCAGACUCCUACGGGAGGCAGGAGGGGGGAAUAUUGCACAAUGGGCGGAAGCCUGAUGCAGCAACGCCGGGUGGGGGAUGACGGCCUUCGGGUUGGAAACCGCUUUCGCCUGGGACGAAGCGGGAGUGACGGUAAUGGGUAAAGAAGCACCGGCUAACUACGUG